AAAAAGUUUGGAUAUGAACUCUCAUUCCAAGUUUCCACUCAGCGUACCUGUCCACUGUAAGCUUCCGUUUGGCGCGGGUCCUAGGAUCCCCUCCUAUCGAGUCCGAUAGCGGCUCGGUUGGGAGUGUCCAGACGGGAGCCAAUAGCAAACUCAACCUAUUAGUUGUAUGUAAUGUCUGAUAUGUUGCAAAGCAAUAUUUA
rnacentral:misc_RNA from 1 species